rnacentral:rRNA from 1 species
AACGAACGCUGGCGGCAUGCCUAACACAUGCAAGUCGAACGAGACCUUCCUGUCUUGUUGCGCUCGGUGGCGUGACGCGGGGUAACCUGCCCUUAGGUUCGGUAUAAUUCCCUGUAAGGGGUGCUAAGACCGGAUAAUCUCUUCCGACCAAAGAGUUAUCGCCGCUGGAUGGGCCCGCGUUGGUUUAGCUGGUUGGUAGGGUAAAAGCGGACCAAGGCGAGGAUGCAUAGCUGGUCUGGGAGGAUGAUAUGUCACAAUGGUGCUGAGACACGGCCCAGAAUCGUACGGAAGGGAGGAGUGGGGAAUAUUGGAGGCUGGGCGAAAGCCUGAUAAAGCAAUGACGCGUGAGAGAUGCUGGCCUUAGUGUUCCAAAGCCCUUUUACACGGGAUGAUAAUGACGGUACCGGGAGAAUAAGCACCGGCUAACUCCGUG